UACGUAGGGGGCAAGCGUUGUCCGGAUUUAUUGGGCGUAAAGAGCUCGUAGGUGGUUCGGUAAGUCGGAUGUGAAAUCUCCAGGCUCAACCUGGAGGGGUCAUUCGAUACUGCCGUGACUAGAGUUCGGUAGGGGAGUGGAACUCCUGGUGUAGCGGUGAAAUGCGCAGAUAUCAGGAAGAACACCUACGGCGAAGGCAGCUCGCUGGGACGGUACUGACGCUGAGACGCGAAAGCGUGGGGAGCAAACAGG
rnacentral:rRNA from 1 species